GGCAGUUGCCCAGAAUGUCCUGCAUAGAACAGUAAUGGUUGUCUUACCUGAGUUUGUGCUGCAGUUGUGCAGUUGGAAAGUUAAGUGCUGGAGAACUUUGAUUUCUACCAGUGGCGAGAUCAGGCUACAUGUUCCGCAGAAGGGCCACAAAGCCCCGGACAAUGUCACAGAUCUCAAACUAUAACCAGAAAACUGAUCACUUCAAGGUAUGUCAUAUUCCUGAGAGGACCUUGGCUUCAGGUAGCAAGAGAGGAAGACAUAGCCCUACAGAAUGCUUUUGGAAGUGAUACUGUAUCAGAAGUUCCAGGAUUGCACCCUGUGAUCGCCUUAUAAAACCAGAAAAAAUAUAGUUUGACCACAACUGGAAGAAGUGGACUGUGACAGAAUGUGCAGAAUAUAUUCUAGAGGUCAGUAAGCUACAGCAGGCUAAGUGGAGCAGUUAAGGCCGAGCGGAAAGUAGCAGCAACAAAAGUUUUCCCAGAGAUGUGAACAACCUGUUCCUGUUCCUGCAACUCUAGCUAUGACUGCUGAAUGCUGGUGCGCCCAUCCGCCACCAGGAACUCUUAUCGCCCUGGACUGUAAGCCCAAAUAAACACCUCUUUCUGUAAGUCGA